AAUAUGCUGCCUGUAAAACAGUGGGACCUUAACAGUUAUUAUUAUUAUUUUUUAAAGAUUUUAUUUAUUUGUUCAUGAGACACACACACACACACACACACAGAAGCAGAGACACAGGCAGAGGGAGAAGCAGGCUCCAUGCAAGGAGCCUGAUGUGGGACUCGAUCCCAGGACUCCAGGAUCACGCCCUGGGCCAAAGGCAGGCACUCAACCACUGAGCCACCUAGGUGUCCCAACAGUUAUUUUUUGAAUGAAGUAUACUGGCUUUUCUUAUGAUGUGUUGUUCAAUCCUCAUUGCAGCUUUAUAACCCCAUUUUUAUGGAUGCACAAACCCAGGCUUAGAGAACUCAAGUCGAGAAAGUGGCAGACCCAGGAUUUGUUUAACACCAAAGUCCUCACUCUUCAUAUCACAGGAAUAAGAUCUAGUCUGCUGAAGGUGAAGUCCAUCCGAGGUCCUCAUCCCUGACCUCCACCGGGUGGAUUUGAGUGGAGACACCCUUGGUGCCAGCAACCCCUCAUCUCUUUGCACAAGAGCCUGCCAGGAAGAGAAAUAUCCAAAGUCCAUUUUGAGCUCUCUGCCUGGGAUUUACCUGCAAUUUGUCAUGGACAGCGGGCAAUUACUGGCACAUAGAGCUGAAGGAGAACUGAAAGAGGGAAGGUCUCCCUCUCCAGCAAGAUCAUCAUUUUUGUAUCAGUCACUGUUGGAGACACCUCUGGUUUAUGUCCCCAGCUCAACUACACAGAAAAGAGAUCUUUUAGUUUCUACUUAGUCACCCAUGGGCUGAGAAAACUGGAAAGGAUGGGUAAUAGUAGUAGUAAGAGUACUUGGGGGCUCCAGGAGGUGUCCGCAAGAACUGUGUAAAGAGGGGCUGUCAUUCUUCUCUGAGAUUUAAACCUUCAAUGCAGAAUACACUAGAGUGGAGGCCCCAGAAGUUGACUGAAGAGCUGAAAGAGUGCCCAGAACCCAUACAACUCAAAUACAACCGGUUUGAACAUUUUGUUAGAAAAUCCAAAGAAAGAAUGAUUUGAUCAGAAAGGGGGAGGGUUGUUCACCCCUGGAAGCAGGACAAAAAGAGGGUCUCAGAGGCAGAUGUUAGCAGGACCCAUCCAGACCUUGCUCCAGGGAGAGAGAGCAGCAGUCAGCUGACUGGUGAAUGGUUUCUGAUCUUCUUGGAAGAGGCAUCUCCAAUAUGGUG
rnacentral:lncRNA from 12 species